rnacentral:rRNA from 1 species
UACGUAGGGGGCAAGCGUUGUCCGGAAUCAUUGGGCGUAAAGAGCGUGUAGGCGGCCCGAUAAGUCCGCUGUGAAAGUCCAGGGCUCAACCCUGGAAUGCCGGUGGAUACUGUCGGGCUCGAAUCCGGAAGAGGUGAGUGGAAUUCCUGGUGUAGCGGUGAAAUGCGCAGAUAUCAGGAGGAACACCAAUGGCGAAGGCGGCUUCCUGGACCGACACUGACGCUGAGGCGCGAAAGCUAGGGGAGCAAACGGG